UAAGAGAGCUGCACACUGAAGUGGGAGAUGGCAGAUAUAGGCUGGUGGUGAGGAAAGUCCAGGACUGCCAGUGUGUGUUCAGAUACCUCAGACUUUCACAAUGGAUGCCAUAAAAUGUGGAGGAUUCUCGAAGGUGAAAGACGCUGAUGAGGAAAUUCAGACAAUCUGUGAUGAGCUUCCAUGUUAUGGAGGAGAAGCUGUACAGGGAGUGCAGAAUUAUUAGGCAAGUUGUAUUUUUGAGGAAUAAUUUUAUUAUUGAACAACAACCAUGUUCUCAAUGAACCCAAAAAACUCAUUAAUAUCAAAGCUGAAUGUUU